CCCCAGUUGAAUUCUUUGUAUUUGGGAGGUUUUUGCUCAUUCACUAGCUCCUCCAGAGGCUUAAUUUGGACAUAGUGUGCAGGGAAAAAGAAAAAUGGCAUUGAAAACCUUUCCUUCUCCGAGUUCACCACCACCCUGUGCUCUGCACUCCAGUACAGAUCAUUGCUCCAAACCUGCAUACAAUUGCCUAUGUUGAUGAUGAAGGCAUCUGGUAUUGGCUUGACCGGAACCCACUCGCCGUCUGCUCUCCUGGCAAUUUCCAGUCCUCCAACUUCAUCUUGAGCAAGGACGGUUAAGGCACCACCAUCUUUGUGUCGACCCACACCAAGAGCUAGAUGUGGAGCAGGACAUGGAGGAUAGUGAUUGAACCUAGCAAAGCUGAUUUGGUCCUUGAAGUAGCCAUUCACGAUCAGCUGGUAAGCCUAAGCUCAUAGAAAUAAGUUCCAGCAACUUGAAAGCUA
rnacentral:misc_RNA from 1 species